GUAACAAGGUCUCCGUUGGUGAACCAGCGGAGGGAUCAUUACCGAGUUUACAACUCCCAAACCCCUGUGAACAUACCUUAAUGUUGCCUCGGCGGAUCAGCCCGCGCCCCGUAAAACGGGACGGCCCGCCAGAGGACCCAAACUCUAAUGUUUCUUAUUGUAACUUCUGAGUAAAACAAACAAAUAAAUCAAAACUUUCAACAACGGAUCUCUUGGUUCUGGCAUCGAUGAAGAACGCAGCAAAAUGCGAUAAGUAAUGUGAAUUGCAGAAUUCAGUGAAUCAUCGAAUCUUUGAACGCACAUUGCGCCCGCUGGUAUUCCGGCGGGCAUGCCUGUUCGAGCGUCAUUUCAACCCUCAAGCCCUCGGGUUUGGUGUUGGGGAUCGGCUCUGCCUUCUGGCGGUGCCGCCCCCGAAAUACAUUGGCGGUCUCGCUGCAGCCUCCAUUGCGUAGUAGCUAACACCUCGCAACUGGAACGCGGCGCGGCCAUGCCGUAAAACCCCAACUUCUGAAUGUUGACCUCGGAUCAGGUAGGAAUACCCGCUGAACUUAAGCAUAUCAAU
rnacentral:rRNA from 1 species